CUGGCUAUGAUUCAGCUCUCUAUAAAAGGACACAGAAAGUAGAAGGUUGGCUGGCCACAACUCAUGAAUUUAUCCAAAACUGGAGAUGACAGAAUGUGAAUGGAGGUGAGAGGAGGUCUUGCUAUGUCUUGUUGACCCAGGAUCUGGCACAGGCUCAUCUUAGGGACCCAAAAAAGAAACCUGCUGAUUAUGGACCAGGUGAACAAUGACAAGAAGGGCUAUUACCUGCGGAAGUUUCAGAAGUCUAAGAAAGGUUUCCAGGCUUCAGCCAUCCUAUCAGUUCUGUGUAAGAAACUGAAUUGACAACACAUGUUUUUAUCUUUCAAAAAAUUUUAUUUUGUUUUCUGUUUGUAUUAGUCCAUUUUUUACUCUGCUAUAAAGAACUUCCCAAGACUGGGUAGUUUAUAAAGGAAAGACAUUUAAUUGACUCACCAUUGCACAUGGCUGGGAAGGCCCCAGGAAACGUACAAUCAUGGGGGAAGGUGAGAGAGAAGCAAAGGCAUUUCUUAUAUGGCGGCAGGUGAGAGAGCGCAUACAAGCAAAGAGGGAAGAGCCCCUCAUAAAGCCAUCAGAUCUUGUGAAAACUCACUCACUAUCAUGAGAACAGCUGGGGGAAACUGCUCCCAUGAUCCAAUAACCUCCCACCAGGUCCUACCCUCAACACAUGGGGAUUACAAAAAUUAGUAGCAUUUCUAUACACCAAUAACAUUCAAGUUGAGAGCCAAAACAAGAACACAAUCCCAUUUACAACAGCCACAAUUCAGGAUUACAAUUCAAUAUGAGAUUCGGAUAGGGAUACAGAGUCAAACCAUAUCAGUAUUUUAAAGAAAGCAUAAUACUACACAAUUAAAAAGAAUGAAAAAUUUCAAAAAUAAUAUAAACUUUUUAAUAAAAGUGCAUUCUAACUGUAGUUACAUUGGGUUUAAUUUUAAAUGUUGCUAAAUAGAAAGGAAAUUGUUUAAAGCCAUAAAUUAUCUUUCCAGUAAGCCCCAUGUGAUUUAUUUUUGGGGUGUGCAUGUAUCUUACUUGGUGCAGAAUGUUGUAGAUUACUUGCUCUGUUUCAAACGAUAAUUUCUGAAGACAUUCGUAUCAUGAGCCUAAACAGAUCAUUUUGUGUAAUAAUAUACGGUUUCCUGUAGAAAGUUAGUUUUUGUUACUGUUGUUGUUUUGGUUUUUUUUUUUUGAGACG
rnacentral:lncRNA from 10 species